CCUACGGGAGGCAGCAGUGGGGAAUAUUGGGCAAUGGGCGAAAGCCUGCCCCAGCAACGCCGCGUGAAGGAAGAAGGCUUUCGGGUUGUAAACUUCUUUUGACAGGGAAGAGCAGAAGACGGUACCUGUAGACUCAGCCACGGCUAACUACGUGCCAGCAGCCGCGGACAUAAGUUGGGUGCGAGCGUUAAUCGGACUUACUGGGCGUAAAGCGCUCGUAGGCGGGAUGUCACGUCAAGGGUGAAAUCCACGGUCUCAACGGAGGAACUGCCUUUGACACUGGCAAACUGGAGUGUGUGAGAGGAUAGUGGAAUUCCAGGUGUAGGAGUGAAAUCCGUAGAUAUCUGGAGGAACAUCAGUGGCGAAGGCGACUAUCUGGCACAUAACUGACGCUGAGGAGCGAAAGCGUGGGUAGCAAACAGGAUUAGAUACCCGUGUAGUC
rnacentral:rRNA from 1 species